UACGUAGGGACCAAGCGUUGUCCGGAUUUAUUGGGCGUAAAGGGCUCGUAGGCGGUUUGUCGCGUCGGGAGUGAAAACCAGGUGCUUAACACCUGGCUUGCUUUCGAUACGGGCAGACUAGAGGUAUUCAGGGGAGAACGGAAUUCCUGGUGUAGCGGUGAAAUGCGCAGAUAUCAGGAGGAACACCGGUGGCGAAGGCGGUUCUCUGGGAAUGACCUGACGCUGAGGAGCGAAAGUGUGGGGAGCGAACAGG
rnacentral:rRNA from 1 species